GACGAACGCUGGCGGCGUGCUUAACACAUGCAAGGCGAACGGAAAGGCCCUGCUUUUGUGGGGUGCUCGAGUGGCGAACGGGUGAGUAACACGUGAGUAACCUGCCCUUGACUUUGGGAUAACUUCAGGAAACUGGGGCUAAUACCGGAUAGGAGCUCCUGCUGCAUGGUGGGGGUUGGAAAGUUUCGGCGGUUGGGGAUGGACUCGCGGCUUAUCAGCUUGUUGGUGGGGUAGUGGCUUACCAAGGCUUUGACGGGUAGCCGGCCUGAGAGGGUGACCGGCCACAUUGGGACUGAGGUACGGACCAGAAUCCUAAGGGAGGCCGCAGUGGGGAAUAUUGCACAAUGGGAGGAAGCCUGAUGCAGCAACGCCGCGUGCGGGAUGACGGCCUUCGGGUUGUAAACCGCUUUCGCCUGUGACGAAGCGUGAGUGACGGUCAUGGGUAAAGAAGCACCGGCUCACUACGUG
rnacentral:rRNA from 1 species